GGCCCGACUAUUUCAGCGUCGCGAUUGUGAUCCAGCCAAGCCAAAUAUAGUCGUAGACAGGUAUUUUUAGCCGUAAAGCGUGUCCCCGUCCUCAUCCGCGAAGGCAACCUGAGCGCCACGGGAUGAGAGUUUGCACCGAGCUCCACAAUCAGCACAUUCAUUGUUAAUAUGUCGUUGAGCGAGGGGAUAGUUUUACAGUCAGCUGACGCUACCCAGAGAGAAACAUCCGACAGCACACACCGCCACUGGCUUCCUCCCUCUUCCUCCCGCGCCCCGCGGGGAAAAAAGGUCGGAAAGUGCAAGGGGAUGGAAAUGUAACCAUCGCUUCGUCAAGCACACACACACACGUAUAACAACAACAACAACAACAACAACAACAACAACAACAGCCACUGGUGCCACCUGGCUGGACGCCCUGCUCACCUUGAUGAGUUGCACCUCGGCUCCACUCCCACAGCUUCAGCCCAGAUAGGGUAACACAUUCAUCCAAAUGGAACUAAGACACUGAUCCUUUGUGUUGAAAGGAACCAGUUUUGGUGUUUUCGGGCUGAUGAGGAUGCUUCCUCUGUGCCUCCAACUGGAGGUUUUCCAAGCACGUCCAACUGGUGGGAGGCUCUGGGGUAGACCCCGAACAGAGAGACUGUAUCUGGCCUGGGAACAUCUCAGGAUGGAGCUGGGGAGAUUGAUUACUUGGACUACUUGACUUCAUCUGGUUUUUGUUGAUACAUGACUUUGGAUAAGUGGGAUGGCUUCAUGAACAUGUCAUUGAAGGAGGCUGCUACUCAUCAAUUUUCUACUAAUGAAACAGAGGCAGAUAAAUGAAAUCAUGAAGUAAUCUUUCAUUUUAUUUACAUGUCAUUCAACUGUAACUUGUCAAAAUGGUCCAAAUUGAGAUGGCAACACUAAUGUUUGUUAUUUUCAGUCAUUACAAAUGAAUAUUUAAUAUUAACACCGAUUCAAACUCACAAAAAUGAAAUGCUUUGAUGAUUUUCACAAUAUAAAGGUUAUUUAAAUUAGAUACAUAGCUUGUACUUCAAUAAGUCUCUGUGGGUUUUAAUUAGAUCUGCAAAAUGUAGUCAAUCAAAUUAUUAAUUAAUUAAUCUUUUCACACAUUUUUCAAGUGAAAUGCCAAAUCUUUGCUGCGCCCAUCUUCUAAAACAUCAGAAUUAAUUGCUUGUCCUAUCAUUUUUGAUAGAAAUUGGAUUUUUUUUUUCUUUUUCGACUUUGCUUUUUUUCAGUAAAGUCGUGACGGACAUUUUUCACUCCUUUUUGAUGUUUCAUAGCCAAAACGUUUAAUUGAGAAAAAAAAACUGGAAGAUUACUAUCGACUGAUAAUGAAAGAAAUUGUUGGCUGCUAAUUUUUGAAAAAUAAAUCUGCAUGAGGUAAAUGAAAAGAAAAACACUUGCCCCUCCCUUGUUGCCUCCACCCAGUUUCCCCAUACAGAUGAGACUGUGGUUUCCAGGAGUAAAAGUGUGUUUGCCAGGCUGCAAAAAAAUAAAGGCAGAAAUUAAUAAAUGUUAAACUAAACUUUUACACCAUGUUUAAUCAACACAAUAAUUCUUCACGUUUGCAUAUUUGUCAGUUGAUUUCUGCUCAAAAUCUUUUUGACUUUGCAUUGCAAGCAUUUGGUUUUGUCAUUUGCAAACCUGGGUUAGAAAUUUAUUAGGACAUUUAUUCAAUUAUUUCUCUAUUGUACAAGUAAGGAUUUAAAAAACUACAUGACCUAAGCUUCCAUUCACCCUCUUCCUUGCCAUCAGUGUAUGAAUGAAAUGCUUGCAGGGCUGUAUGGAGACUCUAUUGUUAAUGAGACAUAAUAAAUGUAUGCUUUAUAAAGCUCAGGUAUGUGCAGCUUUGCUUAGAGAGAGUGAAUAGCAACUCUUGGCUGAGAGGGAGGAACUUGUCUCAUCGUGUCAUUGCCUCUGGCUGUCUGUGAGCACACGUUUGUAUUUGCAUGUGGAUGCUUGCAUUUAACAGUUUACAAUUUUUUAGAAGUUGACUCAUUAAAUGGGAUGAUUUGUCAAAAUCCUGUUAAUCUGUGAUAUUUUGUACAGCGUGGGUUGACGGGAUUAAAACUAUUUCUUAAUGAGUCACAGUUUUAUGACAUUACACAUAAACCCUUUUUAAAGUUCAAGGACUGUUGACUUACAUAGCUGGCAUUUGGAGGUAUAUAGGUCCGACCUGAAUUUAAAUUACUAUUUGUUAUUUUGUCAAUGUUAAUAAUUUCUUUGUGUAUUUUAAAAAAAACUUUGACAAAGAGAAAUAGUUUUCACACCUGCUGCAUGAAUAAAAUGAAAUGUAAUAGAGAUUAACCUUUCGUGAAAAGGUGAAACCUCUUUCUCUAGAAUCAACUGUGUGUGCAUAAAUAGAGGGGGAAAAGAAAAUCAAUAAUUUCAUGAAGAGUUUGUUAAUAUUCUUGUUAUGUCCCAUUCAAGAUGAUCAAAACAUCCCAAAAAUGACAUAACAAUGAUCAAAUUAAUGGAAUUGUACUCAUUCUUAGUCUGAUGUAAAACUAAACCAUAUGUGGUAUUUAUCACUAUGUUUGUUCAUCAUAUAAAAGUUUGAAACAUAUAAGCAGUAAGUCGAAACCGGAAACAAAACGGUUUCACUUCUUAUUUACGUCAAAAUUUGAGAGGUGUUGAUCUGAUCUACUGGUUUCCAAGAUGAAGGCACAAAAAGUGAUUUCACCAUUCGUGCCAGAGUUUUUAAUGUUACAGACAUUGUUAAACAAAUGAACUGUAAUUGGUCUAAUCAUAAAUGAGACAUGCCAGGCAAAAGAAAUGCAAAAACAUAUGGCAUAUGGGAAAUGUAAAAAAUAAAGACACCUACAAAUGAAAUCAAUGGUAAAACCUAGUUGGUAUUGCUGAAAUAAUGAGCUGGAAUAAAGCGUUUCUUCACGAAUAGUUGAAUCGUUUCAGUUCAUUCAGAAGUGACCCUGAAUAACC